CCGAAAAUACGUGUCAUCAAAAUGGAUAAAAAGAGAUGUAUCUAGAACUAAAAUACGUCCAGAUACAUUCUCUUUUAUUCAUUUUGAUGACAAGUAUUUUCGG
rnacentral:pre_miRNA from 1 species